rnacentral:tRNA from 1 species
CUUCUCCUAGUUUAAUCUAGAACUAUUGUUUUGCAUACAAUCAGUAGGACCCCCUCCUGGAGAAGU